rnacentral:rRNA from 1 species
UACAGGGGGGGCAAGCGUUGUUCGGAAUUACUGGGCGUAAAGGGCUCGUAGGCGGCCAACUAAGUCACACGUGAAAUCCCCAGCUUAACCUGGGAACUGCGUGUGAUACUGGAUGGCUUGAAUCCGGGAGAGGGAUGCGGAAUUCCAGGUGUAGCGGUGAAAUGCGUAGAUAUCUGGAGGAACACCGGUGGCGAAGGCGGCAUCCUGGACCGGUAUUGACGCUGAUGAGCGAAAGCCAGGGGAGCAAACGGG